CCUACGGGAGGCAGCAGUGAGGAAUAUUGGUCAAUGGUCGGGAGACUGAACCAGCCAAGCCGCGUGAGGGAUGAAGGUACAAAGUAUCGUAAACCUCUUUUGUCCGGGAACAACGGCGGGGACGUGUCCCCGGUUGAGUGUACCUGAAGAAAAAGCAUCGGCUAAUUCCGUGCCAGCAGCCGCGGUAAUACGGAGGAUGCGGGCGUUAUCCGGAUUUAUUGGGUUUAAGGGGUGCGCAGGCGGUCUGUAAAGUGAGCGGUCAAAGCCCGGGGCUCAACCCCGGCCCGCCGUUGAAACUGGCAGUCUCGAGUUGGAGAGAAGUAUGCGGAAUGCGCGGUGUAGCGGUGAAAUGCAUAGAUAUCGCGCAGAACUCCGAUUGCGAAGGCAGCAUGCCGGCUCCACACUGACGCUGAGGCACGAAAGCGUGGGUAUCGAACAGGAUUAGAUACCCUUGUAGUC
rnacentral:rRNA from 1 species